rnacentral:lncRNA from 13 species
GUGACCGUUAGGAUCGCGUGACAAGAAUGGAGGAUAAUUUGGAGCGCGUGCUCCAUUGCGAUGACAAGGAGGAGUUGAGGCGGAAACUGGCCCUGCUACAGAGGGAGUACUCCAGGACAGUUCGGAGAUUACAGCGAGCUGAGCGAUCAGAUGCCGUGCGGAAGCAUGUGAGGAGUCGGAUCUCUGAGCAGAACCUCCAGGACCAGACAGACCCAGUCCCAGCCAGCACCUUUCCCAACCCAGCUCUACCUCCCCUCUCCCUUGGUAGCCCUGCUAGGACAGCCCCAGGUUCAGCCUCACCACCAGGCCCCGCUGGAGACUCGACUGUGGCGGCAUCGUGUCCGGUGGAAUCUGAGAACCUCAGGCGGAGGAGUCCGUCCAUCCGCUUCCUCCUCCCCGUCGAUGACUCUUGCCCUCGGACACCUGACCUUAACCCUCACAGACAAAGCCACUCCCUCCGGCUGAGGUCACGGAGAAGCCGGCUGCGCUGGGAGCGGACGGGGAGGCUCCAGGGCGGCGAGGGGGCAGGGGGGAGGUACGACACUGAGACCAGCGAGGAUGGGCUGGAGCUGGAAGCACAAACAGAGAAAGAAGAGGAUGGAGAGAAGAGAAAUAUGGAGGAAGAGAAGGAGGGUGUGAAGAAAGAGCUAGAGAGGGAGGAGAAUGAGAGGGAAAUUCCAGAUAAAGAGGCAAUGAAACAGAGCGAUGGAGAGGAGAGAGAAGAACAGAGGACAUAUGGACAGAAGGAGAUCGGUUCACCCCUUCCUUCUCUGAGGAGAGAUGGAGAGAAUGAGAGAGAAGAGGGAAGUGAUUCAGGAGCUGUGGGAGUCUCCGUGUUAGGGGCUGUUGGGUUGUGUAACACUGGGCGAGUCCUGGACUCGUGCACCCUGGUGGAAGGUCUGCCGUUCCCAGUAGAAUACUACAUCAGAACCACAAGACGCAUGGCCUCUUCACAGAGCCACAGAUCCACAGGUUGCCUGGGUGAUUCCACGCCAGGGUGGGACCAAUAUAUAUUUUUGGUAUCUCUGAUUGUUCUGGCAAUUCUCACACAUACAUUUAAUCGGGAGGAAGAAUGUUUGAUAUGAUUUUUACAUUUGUGUCAUGGCCCCCAUUUAAUCAAUUUUAGAAUAAGGAUGUAGCUAGGGAUUAAAUGGUUACUGGUUUCACGAUUUAACCACGAUAAAAUUCCCGGCGAUUAGUAUUAUCGUUUCAAAUGUGUAUUCUGAUUAAAACCGUGUUUGAUUACCGCGGCUUGCAGAAGUCUGAUGCAACGCGGGUUUGGUUUUGUGUGAAAACAUGGCGGAAGGCAGUGAUGGCGCUCUGGAGAUUUUUCAGCCUUCUAAGAGGACCAAAUCUGAACUGUGGUUGUAUUUAGGGUUUUCCCCUGAGUGCUGAGGGAAACUUAAUCGAAAAUGGUCACCCUGUCUGCAGAACAUGCAACAAAAUAAUUGCUGCCAAAGGUGGCAACACUUCAAAUCUCUCGAGUCAUCUUCGUGACCAUCACCCACUACUUUAUAGCGAAUGCAAGGUAAGUUAACUUUUAGCUCAAUGCAUGAUGUGGGGACUUUGGGGUUGGGGGAUAUGUCAUGGUUUGUCUAACUUGCUUAAUAGCUUGUCAAUAAUGUAAACUGAAGCGUUCAGUGUUACCUAGUCCUGUAAAAACACGUUGAUCUGCUGUAUGGGUCGUGUGUCUGCAGACUUCUCCCAUUGCACACGAUAACACGUUCUGUAGUUUAGUCACCCAAACAACAUGUUUUGUUCAUUUAAAAUCCGUCAGUCGACGACUUGGUUGUUAAAGUGUUAUAACAGGUUAAACACAAUAGACUCCAAUACAAGACUCCUGUAUUGUGGGGUCUCCUGUCAGAGAGUGUUCAGUGCCAGCGAGCACUUUGUCUCCCCUUGCAGAUCACUAUUUAAACCGGACAAAGUAAAUAUGUUGACAUUUUUACAUUUCAGUUUCAAGUGAACAAAGAUGCAGGAUGUUAGACCAGCAGCACCUUGUUUCUAUAUGAAGGAGAGAACAGACAUACAGGAUGUUAGACCAGCAGCACCUUGUUUCUAUAUGAAGGAGAGAACAGACAUACAGGAUGUUAGACCAGCAGCACCUUGUUUCUAUAUGAAGGAGAGAACAGACAUACAGGAUGUUAGACCAGCAGCACCUUGUUUCUAUAUGAAGGAGAGAACAGACAUACAGGAUGUUANNNNNNNNNNCCAUUGCACACGAUAACACGUUCUGUAGUUUAGUCACCCAAACAACAUGUUUUGUUCAUUUAAAAUCCGUCAGUCGACGACUUGGUUGUUAAAGUGUUAUAACAGGUUAAACACAAUAGACUCCAAUACAAGACUCCUGUAUUGUGGGGUCUCCUGUCAGAGAGUGUUCAGUGCCAGCGAGCACUUUGUCUCCCCUUGCAGAUCACUAUUUAAACCGGACAAAGUAAAUAUGUUGACAUUUUUACAUUUCAGUUUCAAGUGAACAAAGAUGCAGGAUGUUAG